UACGGAGGGCGCAAGCGUUAUCCGGAAUUAUUGGGCGUAAAGAGCGCGUAGGUGGCUAGAUAAGUCGGAUGUGAAAUCCCUCGGCUCAACCGAGGAAGUGCAUUCGAAACUAUCUAGCUCGAGGAUGGCAGAGGAAGGUGGAAUUCCUAGUGUAGAGGUGAAAUUCGUAGAUAUUAGGAGGAAUACCGGUGGCGAAGGCGGCCUUCUGGACCAUUCCUGACACUGAGACGCGAAAGCGUGGGUAGCAAACAGG
rnacentral:rRNA from 1 species